CCUCAAACAACUCCCCAAUCCCACUUUCCAAAUCUUUCUCUUUUUUUGAUUUUAGGUUGACAGGAAUUAUGGAAUGGCGAAAACUAGAGCUUCUUCAACAAAUAAAUCAGAUAUGAAAUCAUCCCCAUCAAAGACACCCGCAAUGACAAAAUCGAAGAGGGUAUCUAGCAAACGGAAGGUUGAUUUUGAUGAUGUUCAAAUUACGAGUAAGAACCCUAGAGUUCACGGUCACUGAUAAUCAAAAGAAAAAAAAAAUUGUUCCUUCUCCUCAUACUUUUGUUAAGUUUUUUUCUGUCAAACUGAUGAAAAAAACGAUGAACGAAGACGGUUUGAGUUGAACGAAGAAAGCAGUCGUUGGAGUGAGACGAAGAUAGGCGAACGAUGAACGAAAGCAAACAAUGAACGAAGGCGCGGUGGCUGGCAGCCAUUGUCUUUUUUAUUGUAAUUGGGAUUUUAACAAUGAUGUAAAAAUAAUUAAGGUUAACUAUAUGUUUCUAAUGGUUAAUUAAUAGUUAA